rnacentral:rRNA from 1 species
UGGUGCUUCCCAGAAAAGUUAAGAAAGACUGUCUUGUUUCUUUUUUUUCUGUCC